UGUUGAACAGAUAAAUACGAAACUGCCAUCAUCAUUUGUAGAAAAACUGUUUAUACCAUCAUCUAAACUACUAUUCUUGCGUUAUCAUAAAGAAAAAGAGGUUGUUGCUGUAGCCCAUGCUGUUUAUCAAGCAAUGCUCAGCUUGAAGAAUAUUCCUGUUUUGGAGACUGCCUAUAAGUUAAUAUUGGGAGAAAUGACUUGUGCCCUAAACAACCUCCUGCACAGUCUGCAACUUCCUGAGGCCUGUUCUGAAAUAAAACAUGAGGCUUUUAAGAAUCAUGUGUUCAAUGUAGACAAUGCAAAAUUUGUAGUUAAAUUUGACCUCAGUGCCCUGACUACAACUGGAAAUGCCAAAAACUCGAGUCUUUAAUUGUAAUGACUUUGUUUUAUCCACAGUUAAGCCUUUUCUCAUUACAUAUUUAUGUAUUUCACUGUCAUGUCAACAUGUCUGCAGAAUCACUGUAUGUAACAAACAGCCAUAUUUAAGACAUGCCUGGAUAAAUAAAAUUGGUAGGAAUGUUUUCUUGCCAUUAUAUUUAACGUUUCUUCUUUUUCCUUGACAAAUCUUGAUAAGUUUUUUUAUAUUAGUUUUAUUUUCUAGAAAACGUCUUAUGAAUUUCUCCCAUUUGCUCUAGCAUGCUUAUAGAAAAUGUCAGUGUUUCUUACAGCUCAAAUUUGUAUAGUUGUUUUAAAAUGCGGUCUCUUUCUUCCCCUGGUACUUUUUUCUUUCUGUCUACUGAAGUUAGUUCUUAUACAUGGUCUUAUAUUUUGGCUGUCUUUUUUUCCCUAGGAACAUUCAUACAGGUUGAAUAUUCCUUAUCUGAAAUACUUGGGACUGGAAGUGUUUUUGAUUUUGGAGUUUGGAAUACUUUUUUUUUUUUGGAGAUAGUGUUUUACUCUUGUUGCCCAGGCUGGAGUGCAAUGGCGCAAUCUUGGCUCGCUGCAACCUCCGCCUCCCGGGUACAAGCGAUUCUCCUGUUUCAGCCUCCCAAGUAGCUCGGAUUACAGGCAUGCGCCACCACGCCUGGCUAAUUUUUUUGUAUUUAGUAGAGAUGGGUUUUCACCAUGUUAGCCAGGCUGGUUGUGAACUCCUGACCUCAGGUGAUCCACCUGCCUUGGCCUCCCAAAAUGCCGGGAUUACAGGUGGGCACCACCAUGCCCAGCCGGAUUUUGGAAUAUUUUCAUAACACUUACUGGUGAGCACCCCUAAUCUGAAAAUCCUAAAUCUAAAAUGCUCCAAAAUUUGAAACUUUUUGAGCACCAGUAUGAUGCCCCAAGUGGAAAAUCCCACACCCGACCUCAUGUGAUGAGUCCAAACUGUUGUAUGCACAAAAUUAUUUAAAAUAUUGCAUAAAAUGACCUUCAGGCUAUGAAUAGAAGGCGUCUAUGAAAUAUAAGUGAAUUUCGUGUUUAGACUUGGGUCGCGUCCCCCACAUAUCUCAUUUUAUAUAUGUGCAAGUAUUCUCAAAUCCAAACAUAUACAGAGUCUGAAACACUUCUGGUCCCAAGCAUUUUGAAUAAGGGAUACUCAACCUGUAGUCUUUCUUUUAGGAGGGGGGAAAAAAAAAGCUUUUUUUUUUUUUGGAGACAGAGUCAUGCUGUUGUCACCUGGGCUGGAGUGCAGUGGUGCAAUCUCGGCUCACUGCCACCUCUGCCUCCCGGGUUCCAGCAAUUCUCCUGCCUCAGCCUCCCGAGUAGCUGAGAUUACAGACACCUGCCACUACGACGGGCUAAUUUUUGUAUUUUUAGUAGAGACUUGGUUUCACCAUGUU
rnacentral:lncRNA from 1 species